AUUUUGACAUUUUCUCUACCGAGUUAUAAAUGCCAGUCCUGUUCACCUCAUUUGCUUUCCUCUUACUGCUUUUCUCUCUCUCUCUCUCUCUUGGUUUCCUCCAUUGCAAACCAAGCUUUAUUUCUGGCUAUCACAGGUCACUCUCUCGUCCACAAGGACGAAAACCCACCAAGGCGCCAACCAAUUCAACAACGCUGCCUGUGGCCCUCUAAAAUUCUAGAAAGAAACGGAAAUUUUCCUUUGCGGCAUCCAUUGUGUAGAUAUUGCGUUUUGUCUGGGCUUGUUGUAUGCUUAUUCGUUUUCAAUUUUCAUUUCUCUUUGGCCCACUUCUGGAAUUUGGACAGAACCCCAGCUUCUAAACUACUCUUCUACAAAUAUUAUUUCUGGGGUUCUGGGUUUCUGUGGAUUGUGUUAUUUCUGGUUGACAUUGGCCUAUCUAUGCCUUCUGAGACUCUAUUUCUAAACUUGAAAAGAAGGCAAUUUUCUUGCUUCUGUAGGUGUUUCAGAGAAGAAGAUAAGAGGGGGUUGGAUCACCAGGAGUGGUGGGGAUGGACUGAUUUUGCAGUCCACGAGAUUAAGUCGGCAGAUUGCAAGUGCUGCUAAUAGGAAGGAUUGCUCCUUGUAUUUACCAAGAACCAGAAAUGUCAUCCAAUGAGUCUCUAAAUGCUGAGUUGUCUAAAAAGACAUCAUUUCUGGGUCUGAAGCUAUGGGUUUUGAUUGGUAUUUGUGUUGGUGUUUUCAUUGUUUUGAUCCUUUCUAUUUUGUCUUUAUGGGUCACAUCUCGAAGGAAAACAAGGAGGACCUUGGACAAGUAUUCCCUUUUCCAAAUACCCACCGUCUCAAAGGAAAUCAAAGUGGAUAGAGUUGGACUCAACAAUUUUAAUGAUCAUUGUGAAGGUGUUUACCUGACGGUGCAUGACAAAUCUAGUGACAAGGAUUCAGAGAAGAUGUUUGUUCAUUUGGGAAGGAGCAAAUCAAGUGAGGCAGAUAACCUCAGCCAGUGCAGUUCAAUUUAUCAGCUGGAGCGAGGCUGUAGCUCUCAGUCAGGAGAAGAAGGAAGCUCUGGAAAUUUUCGCAGGCAGUCCUCAUUGUAUGGACUCACAUCAGCAUCUCCUUUAAUUGGUCUACCUGAAGUUUCACAUCUUGGGUGGGGUCACUGGUUUACACUCAGGGAUCUUGAGUAUGCAACAAAUCGUUUCUCGGCAGAGAAUGUGCUUGGAGAAGGUGGGUAUGGUGUUGUUUAUAGGGGUCGGCUGAUCAAUGGAACUGAGGUAGCAGUAAAGAGAAUUCUCAAUAAUCUGGGGCAGGCAGAGAAGGAAUUUAGAGUUGAAGUGGAAGCUAUAGGUCAUGUUCGACAUAAGAACCUUGUACGGCUUUUGGGCUAUUGUGUAGAGGGAGUUCACAGGAUGCUGGUGUAUGAGUACGUGAACAAUGGCAACUUAGAGCAGUGGCUUCAUGGAGCUAUGUGUCAACAGGGUUCCCUUAGUUGGGAAGCCCGCAUGAAAGUCAUCCUUGGAACGGCCAAGGCUCUUUCCUAUUUGCAUGAGGCAAUAGAACCGAAAGUUGUUCAUCGUGACAUAAAGUCAAGCAAUAUCUUGAUUGAUGAAGAAUUUAAUGCAAAGGUUUCUGAUUUUGGUUUGGCCAAACUCUUGGGAUCAGGAACAAGUCACAUCACCACCAGAGUAAUGGGAACAUUUGGGUAUGUAGCUCCUGAAUAUGCAAAUACUGGCUUUCUGAAUGAGAAGAGUGAUGUAUACAGUUUUGGUGUCCUCCUGCUAGAAACAGUUACAGGCAGGGAACCUGUGGACCAUGGUCGGCCUGAAAAUGAGGUUAAUCUUGUUGAGUGGCUAAAGAUGAUGGUAGGUACUAAGAGAGUUGAGGAAGUUGUGGAUCCAAACCUUGAAGUUAGACCAACUACUCGGGCUCUUAAACGUGCCCUUCUGAUUGCACUGAGAUGUGUUGAUCCUGACUCUGAGAAAAGACCAAAAAUGGGUCAGGUUGUUCGAAUGCUCGAAACAGAUGAACACCCAUUCCGUGAGGACCGUAGGAACAGGAAGAGUCAAACAACCAGCAUGGAACUUGAAUCCUUGAAGGAGAACUCUGGCUCCAUUGACAUGGAAAAUAAUGUUGAGACAUCAGACAGUAAUACAUCUGAGAAAUUUCAUGGCUAGGAUUGAUGAUUGCAACAUAACCCAGUUGAAUAGCCUCUUGACCAUUCAAAUUGUAGGUCUUUCUUGUAAACUCAAAAGAUAACAGUGCAGAGUGUUGUCCAUAAAAGAAUUGCUAAUGGGGUUAAUAGAGCAACCAGAUUGAGGAGUACCCGUCUGGGUUAUUGGAGUGCUAUCUCUCGGCUGUUGUGUCACUACCAAUUUCUAGAUGCCAUAAUUAUGACAGGAUGCAAAGAGGCGCCUUCAACUUUGAGGUUUCUUGCAGUAACCUAAAGAAAAAAGAAAAGAAACAAGGAGAAGAAAAAGAAGAAAAUUUCUUUUUGUACAGAUAUGAUUCAUGGUUCCAUUGGGCUUCCCUUCUUUUAUACAUGCUUUCCUUCAUCUUGGGCUGUAAUGGGUUGCUUUCUUUCGCAGUUGAAUGAUGCUUCUCCCAUUGUUUCUCUUUAUCUUUUCUUGCCUUUUUCUUCUAUCAAGCUUGGAGAUGGAUUGCUUUCUGUUUUCCUUUGCUUCAUCUUGGGUGAUGAAGAGAGAAUAAUCCUAUGAAGUCUGUAGUACACCUCCGUGCAGUCAAAUUGACCUUCAUCAUUCAAUUUGGCUCCUUCUGUGAAGGCUAAGGGGGUUCAUCAUUGCAUCAUUUGACCGACCUAAUUAUCCUACCUGCUGCUCUAUCUGUGGUUACUGGAUAGUGAUGGCACUAACAUCUGCUUGGAACAGGUCCUUGAUCAGAUGUGUUAAGUGCAGUUCCAGGUUGUUGAAAGUUGAAUCCUUCCAAGUCGACGGAUCCCAUCUCACUGGGCCAUAUCUUUGUAAACUCCCAUGUGAGUCCUGCUGGGCAUUUGCAUUUCAUAUUUCUUCUGCAAUUUUGAAUAGAAGAGUUUGAGUUUGAGACUGAGGAAAAUCAUGUGCCCUUUGACCCACCCCACUUUCUGAAUUGAAGAGUGUCUGUGUGGUAAUCCAAUGGAAGAGUUGACAACUUGACUCUUUAACGCUCACCCUUAGAAGUAGCCACUAAGAAGAAACCUCUAGACUUUGAGAUGAUCAAGACUGCCCUUCAUGAUGACCUUGAAGCUGAUGUUCUAAGACAAUUUGGGUGGUGAUUUGGGCACCUCCUAUUUUGACAAACAGGUUUUAUUAGCCAUCAUUGAGUUUGAUUUGAGCUUCCCCAAUUAAAGACCCAAGCUUUGUCUG